rnacentral:lncRNA from 1 species
UAUACUCUUUCCUCUGUUUCCACAGUUUCGCCGACGCGGCGAUCCCGAACACCACGUGGCUGAGAUCGGUUGGCUCGUCUUCCACCUCUUCCUCCUCGGACUCGCGCCGACGUGAAGGUAGUGCAGAGGAGGAGGAGGAGGAGGAGAGGUUGGCGGAGAGGGUGGUGAAGGUGAUGGAAUCGUCGCAGGAGCGUGAGGUGGAGACGAGCUUGAGCAUGUAGAUAAUGUAAGUGAAAGCGAUGAAGCAGAUGAGCCAGACCAUUAGUUUAGGACCGGGUCGGGUUACCACCGACAACGUUCCGGGUUUCUCCGAGGAGUCUUUCUGGUUACCUUUCAUCCUCCCUCUUUCGAGCUUCUUGAUUCGUACCCCCAGAGGAGAGAACGAACCGAAAAGAUUGGAUCUUUGUUUUCGUAAAAGAGAAAGAUUAGUGUGAGUGAGAUUGGUGAUGGAUGUCCUGAGAAAUCGAGGGGGGGGGGAAGAGAGUGAGCAAAAAGGAAAAGAGAGAGAGAAGAGAGAUAUGGAAAGACGGAUUAAAUGGUGAGAGAGAACGCAAUCCUCUCUUCUACUUGAAACUCCAUAAACGCAAAAAUAAAUUAAAAGAACAUAAAAAGGAGGAGAUAAUAUUAUUUAAAUAAAUAAAUGGGGUUGUUGUCUUUGUUUUUUUUAAAACAAAAUUUAAUGGAAGAUUUGUUGUUUGAUAAUAAUAUAAUAAUAAUUUUUUGGUGUUAUCACGAAACAAAAAGGAUUUUUUUUUUUUGUAACAAAACAAAAAGGGUUUAUGUCCUUAUCGUAGAAAGCUUUCGUUAAAAUCACGUCGGUCAUUGAGAAAACUAUCUACGUGUCGCUUUUGCUCCUAACAGCCCAAGCUGCGUCGUACUGCUGUCUCGUUUUUUCAGCAAAGGGUGUGGCUAAAGAAUUUACAUUGGCUUAAUCGUUUGUUUUCGCUUGACAUAGUUUUAGUUAACCCUGUUAACUGAAAAAUUAUCAUUCUUCAAUCAUUGUUAAACAUGUAAGUUUACUGAUUAUUUAUUGGUCAGCGCUCUUGGCUGAUAUCAAUAUCUUAUAUAUUAAAACAAAAUCAUAACAUUAGUUCAUGUGUGUUUUUUUAAAAAAUUGACUUAAUGAAUCUAUUUCUAUAAAGUCAUGUUACAUUUAAUAUUUAAUCAUCUAUUAGAUUUAUAGAUAGUAUAAAUUAAAUAGAUAUAAUUUAAUGUUGUAAUACUAUACCUCCAUAUGUUAAAUAUUUAAAUAUUUAUCGAUGUUAACUUUUAAAAUUAUAAUAAUUUUUUUAAAUAACAAAAAUCAUAUUAUCUAACAAUGAUUAAUAUUUACUACCUUAAACCAAUGAAAACAAAUUUUAAACUAUAUAGUUUAUUUUAAAAAUUAAACAAAAACUAAAUGUUUAAUUAUUUACUCGAUAAUAUAAAUUUAUGAAGUGAAAAGUUUAAUUUUUUAAAAACUAUCUAAAUUUGUGAAAUGUUACAAUAUCUUUGACUAUGACAAUAAAAUAAUAUUUUAAUAAUAUUUAUAUAUAUAGUUAUGAUUUUAAUAAUAAAAUAAUAAUCCGAAAAUAUAUAUAUAUAGAAAAAUAUAAAAAUACAUGUGAAAGUUUGAAGCAAACCGUAAACUUAUUAUGUUUUAAAAAUUGAUAAACACAUAUAUAUUAUAAUAUAUACCAAUUUAUAGUUGAAAAUAAAAUAUUUAUAUAAAAAUAAAUGAAAACAAAAAUCUGUACGGUUGCACGAAUCGAGAUCUAGUUAAAAAAUUAAAAUAUGAUAUUUGUUAGGUUUGAGUCACUCCACGUGUAGGUGUAUAUAUAUAUAUAUAUAUAUAUACAUAUUUCAUAUAUGUAAUAUUAUUAGAGAUAUUUUACUAUCAUCAACAUAGAUUCGGAUUUAUCAUUGAAUAAUUAUGAGUGUUUGAUUUAAAUAUGACACGACAAUCUAAAUAUUGAUAUCACAUAUUCAUAUAUAAAAAUUCAAUGUUAUAAUGCAUUAAUGAUCAGAGCAGUGGAGUAUGUAUUAUCGUAUUUCAGUAAAUUAAAAGAUUUUCAAUUUUAUAUUAUUUGCACGCAGUAUAAUUAGGUCUGGAAAUUAUGAAUAUAUGCAUCACUGACAGAAAUUAAUAGAUUGCACAGUAUAUAUAAUAAUAUGAUAUAUACACCUUUAUGAGGAGGAGGAGGAGGAGAGGUUGGCGGAGAGGGUGGUGAAGGUGAUGGAAUCGUCGCAGGAGCGUGAGGUGGAGACGAGCUUGAGCAUGUAGAUAAUGUAAGUGAAAGCGAUGAAGCAGAUGAGCCAGACCAUUAGUUUAGGACCGGGUCGGGUUACCACCGACAACGUUCCGGGUUUCUCCGAGGAGUCUUUCUGGUUACCUUUCAUCCUCCCUCUUUCGAGCUUCUUGAUUCGUACCCCCAGAGGAGAGAACGAACCGAAAAGAUUGGAUCUUUGUUUUCGUAAAAGAGAAAGAUUAGUGUGAGUGAGAUUGGUGAUGGAUGUCCUGAGAAAUCGAGGGGGGGGGGAAGAGAGUGAGCAAAAAGGAAAAGAGAGAGAGAAGAGAGAUAUGGAAAGACGGAUUAAAUGGUGAGAGAGAACGCAAUCCUCUCUUCUACUUGAAACUCCAUAAACGCAAAAAUAAAUUAAAAGAACAUAAAAAGGAGGAGAUAAUAUUAUUUAAAUAAAUAAAUGGGGUUGUUGUCUUUGUUUUUUUUAAAACAAAAUUUAAUGGAAGAUUUGUUGUUUGAUAAUAAUAUAAUAAUAAUUUUU